CCUACGGGGGGCAGCAGUGGGGAAUAUUGCACAAUGGGGGAAACCCUGAUGCAGCGACGCCGCGUGAGCGAGGAAGUAUUUCGGUAUGUAAAGCUCUAUCAGCAGGGACGAAAAAAGACGGUACCUGACUAAGAAGCCCAGGCUAACUACGUGCCAGCAGCCGCGGUAAUACGUAGGGGGCAUGCGUUAUCCGGAUUUAAUGGGUGUAAAGGGAGCGUAGACGGCGAUGCAAGUCUGAAGUGAAAGGCGGGGGCCCAACCCCUGGACUGCUUUGGAAACUGUAGGGCGGGAGUGCAGGAGGGGGAAGUGGAAUUCCUAGUGUAGCGGUGAAAUGCGUAGAUAUUAGGAGGAACACCAGUGGCGAAGGCGGCUUACUGGACUGUAACUGACGUUGAGGCUCGAAAGCGUGGGGAGCAAACAGGAUUAGAUACCCCAGUAGUC
rnacentral:rRNA from 1 species